AUCAACAUGUAAUAUUAUCAAUUAAAAUUGAUAUAAAAAUUCUUGAGAUUUUUUACCUUUUUUUCUAAGUCUUUAAAGUCUGGUGUGUAUUUUACACUAUGGCACAGCUCAGUUCAGCCUGGCCGCAUUUCAAGUGCUUCCUGGCCACAUACGGCUAGCGGAUGAGCAGCAUCUCAUUUAAAUGGUGCCCUUUCUCUCAUUUUACAGAUGAGGAAGCAGACACUCAGAGGAGUAAAGUCACUUGCCCAAGGUCACGGUUACUCCCUGGUGGGGUGGGAUUUGAAACCCAUCUGUGUAGCUCCAAAGCCUGUUUCUUCCUGCUGCCCUGUUGUCCCCGGGGCAACCCUUUCUCCCCAGAGCGCAGCAGCUGAUGAGGGCUGCAAAGUCAAAACUUCAACCGAGGUCCUCUGACCCCAAAUCCUGUAAUGUCUCUACCUCAACGGAUCCUGUGGUACAGAUAGUGGGAAGCUAGCAACCCUCCAAAAUGGUUCUGACCCCUAUUCUUCUGGGGUCCCUGAGAUGCAUGUGGGUAAGGCGGCAGAAAGGAACUGGGGACUGCUGGUAAGUUGUUCAAUUCUUCUUUGCGGGGAGGGAGUUGCUAAUGAGUGGAAGGCGCAGGCCGUACUGGGCGAGAGGCAGUAGUGGUAACUGGACCAGGCACUGAAAAAUAGCCAGCAGGUCAUCUUGGCAUCUUUGCCAAUGCCAUAGUCGGUGACCCAUCCCUUGCCCAUCAUCUGGGUCAUCCAGAAACGCCCACUCCCAGAGCCUAGCGGAGUACAUAGAGGUCACAGUGAAUCAGUCGCUAUCAUCUUCACACGGAUGCUUGGGAAAUGAAAAUGGGAUGAUAAACGUAAGACAUUCUGAUGGGCAGCUUACCCUGGGCUCUCAUGUGGACAGAGUCAUGGGAAGAUUCUCAGAGCCACAUCCCUGCUGUAGAGUGGACACCAGAGCCAUGCACUAAUGGAGGCCAGGGGAGUUCCCUGGCAAGCCCAGAGGGUGUGUUUGCUGACUCCAGAGAUGUGUGAUGCUAAAAAUAAUGAUCGGUAGCUGAGUAUUCCCAAUCUAUUUAAUAUUCAUCAAUUAUCCAGUCACUUGGAAGCAUCCAUCUAUCCAUUCAUGCCCCUGGAUGCCCAUCCAUGCCUCCCUCCCUCAGUUCCUUCACUCCUUCAUCCACCCAUUCAUUCAUUUUUCCCCUGUCCUGUCAUCUGCUUGUCUAUCACCACCGACUCUGCACUUAAUCCUGUGCUGGAUGCUUGACGUGCAACAGUGAACAAGACUCAGAUCUUCCUCCAAACCUGCUGAGGUGGACAGACACUUAGUCUAAGCGAGGGAGGAAAGUGUGUUCCAGGGGGUGCAGUGGGGGCUCCGAGGCGGAAAUGCCCCACUGUGUCUGAGAGAGUCAGGGAAGCCUGCCCGGGGAAGGGCCACCCAAGUUGGUCUUGAAAGAGGAAAAGGGGCUUGUGAAGCCAGAAGAAGGAAGCCUGGCCGAUGAGAUGGGCAGUGAUGUGGACUGGCCAGUGACACAAAAGAACCUGCGGCAGGAGCCGGGGGGAGGAAAGGAAGGCGGACUGGCCUCAAGCCAAGAUUUCACCCCAGGUCUCAGAAGGGGCUGGAAAAUGGUGACAAGUCAGCAGUCUGCCCUGCCUUAGCUGGCCUCGCCUUCUCUUAGUGUAGCACACGUUCUGGGAUGUCAGACCUGGAAGACCAAAAGAUCACCCAAGUUAGUCUCCUUAUUGUCAGUCAGGGAAACUGAGGCUUAGAGAGGAGAAAAGAUAGGCCAAAGUCACAUAGAGGGUUAGGGGUUCCCCAAACCCAGGUCUCUAACUCCAGUGCAUUCUAGUUCUUUCCACUUAAUCUAGGCCCCAACUAUCCCCCACUUAACAAACACCAGAGUCUAAAGACUUGCAACCCCUCAGUGCCUGGCACAGUGCUGGGCCCAGAGAAGGACACCUUCCCUGUUGCCACUGGGCUGCUGGCCACAAUAAUCAGAUUGAUAGAGCUCAUUCGUGCUCUUUCCACUGUCCCAUUUAAUUCCCACAACCAUCCCAGGGGACUGGAAUUACUACUCUUUUUUACAGAUGGGGGAAGGAGGCUCAGAGAGGAGAAGGGGUUUGCCCAGAGUCACACAGCUCAAAUGCAGCAGAGGAGCAUCCUGACUCCCCGUCCUGUAUCUGAUCUGAGACACCUCACACAGCCUUGAAUGUUCUGGCCCCCUGCUGACCCUGUGCUGUUGAAGUCGGGGCCUGUGGACAGCAAUGGAAAAUGUGUGUCAGAGGAAGCUGCUGCUGGGGACGACGUAGAAGGAUGGGCAGACUGUCCUACAAAAGCUGUCCCCAGGCUCUGCCUCCCAGAUCUCCUUGGCCACUGCCAAGUCACUGCUCAAUAGUUCAUUCAACAGCAUUAACUGUGUGCUCCGACGCAGGACAGCCCUUCCCUACUCGGAGAGGCACACAAUCUGAUGGAGACAGACACAUGAUAAGACAGGUGCAAUACCUGGGGACACAGUCCAGAGGGGGCUGGGCAGUGUCAGGGGGGCUUACUGGAGGGCAGCACAUCAGGGAGGCAAUAAUGACCACUCUUCUGUGUGCUUACUAUGAGCCAGAUUAAAGGGCUAAGCGCUUUAAAAGUUUUUAUACCUUCCCAUCCUCGAACAACCCUGUGAGAGAGAAACUGUUGGUAUGCCCAUUUUCCAGGUGAGGAAGCUGAGGCAUUGAGGUGUGAGAGGUCUCACUGCUAGAUGCUGGGAAACGGCAGAUCCAGGAUUUGAAACGAGGCAGUCUGCUCUCAACGGCUCCACCAAGGAAAAGGAAGAGGGAGCAGGUGCUGGGGGCAGGAAGGGAGAUGUGGAGGGAGGGACAGGAGGAGAUGGUGUUGGCUGAGGGAGGAGGGGCCGGUGCUGGGUGCUGGGGCUGGGGAGCAGCCAGGGCCCCAGCAGGAAGUCCUGCAAAAUAUGGGGGACUAUGGACAAGUUUUGGGCAAGGGAGUGACAUGGACAUGCUUGUUCUAGAAAGGUACCCUCCUUUAAAGUGGUGAUCACAAGUGAAAUGUGAUUUUAUUUCAAUGUUUUAUUUUUAUUGGUUUCCUAGGGCUACUGUCACAAAGUACUGCAAGCCAGGUGGCUUAAGAUAACAGAAAUUUAUCUUCUGACGGUUCUGGAGGUUAGAGGAUGGGAAUCCAGGUGUCGACAGGGCCAUGUUGGCCAAGACUCUGGGUGGCAUCCUCUCGCCUCUCCCAGCUUCUGGUGGUGGCCGUCCGGCCUUGGUGGUCCUUGGUUUUCAGCCACAUCCCUCCCACCUCUGCCUCUGUCAUCACUCGGCUCCUCCUUGUGUGUCUCUCCUUGGUGUCUCUCCUUGGUGGAGCCGUUGAGAGCAGACUGCCUCGUUUCAAAUCCUGGAUCUGCCGUUUCCCAGCAUCUAGCAGGGACACCAGUCGUGUUGGAUUAAGGGCCCCCCUACUGCCCUCGACCUCUUCACUAGUUACAUCUGUGAUGAUCUUCUUCCCAAAUAAGGUCACAUUCUGAGGUGCUAGGGGUUAGGACUUCAACAUACCUUUUUAGGGGACACAAUUCAACCCAUAAUAGAUGUCAUUAAAGUGCUCGUCAUAUAGAUAAACCUCAAAUCUGAAAAAAUCCUAUGCAGAUCACUGGGCCCAGUUUGAGAUUCAGAAAAUAUGGCCUCAGUGUAUCCGUCCCCCACACUGAUACUUUGCCCUAGUGAGCACUAAAUAAAUGUUUGAGAAAUAUUUAACUUGUGGUCCCCUAAGGCCUUCAGGUCUUUCUUUAACAAGUUAGAGAACUAGAAUAAAAGUCCCCAGAGAACAAAGUCAAGCUGCCCUCUGUCCUGGAUUCCUGGCAGGCGGCUGUGCCAUGGACCUGGGUACCUCCUUCCCCUCCUGCCUGGACACCGGCUUGGGGAAUAGUCAUGAGAAGGAUAGAGAGGAGAGGUCUCAGCUCCUCUCCUCCCUGGAUUAAGCAGAACCCACUGUUCUCAGUCCUCUCCCUUGCUUCCCCAUCCAAGCAGGCUCAGACUGCUCCAUUCAGAUGAGUGUCCAUGCUCUGUCCCACCUCCUCGACCUGGUCAGGCCUUGUCUUUACCACUGGGACUAUUCCCCUAGGCUUUCAACUGAUGUCCCUGCCGCCAGCAGCCCAUUGGGUCACCCUAAAUGUGAAUCUGAUGACUGUUCUGACAUAAAACCUUCCAUGGCUCCCUAUUGCUUGCAGAACAAAGUCCAGAUUCCUUAGCCUAAGUUUCAGGCCUGUACAAGUUGGUCCCCAGGUAGCCAUCCAGGCUUGUUUUUCACUAUUUUCCCACAUGUGCUCUAUCCUACAGGCAGUGGAGUUUCCAGAAUUUCCAUUUAAAGAAACUGGGUGCGGGGUGCAUUCUGGUCAGAAGGGGACACAGCACGAGGCUUGUCUUGCCGCUGUCUUUAUAAGCAAGAACGCCUGAGCAUGGCUGUGCUUUCCUCUUGUCUGCAUCUGCUCCUUGGCAUACGCCGUUCCCUCUACGUGGAACGCUCUCCACAUCUCCAUUUUUCAGCAUCUGACCCAAAGGACAUCCUCAGUCACAUCACUGGAAGGGCCUCUCCCUGCUCCAGAUACUGAGGAUUCCGGCCGAGCUUCCUUACGAGUCUGAUUCCAGUCCUCCUGGUGUUGACCAGAGGAGGCCCCUGCUCCCCUUAGAGCUGGGUUCCACCCCAGGCCUGCGGCUGAGUGGUAGGAAGAACAGGGUGGGAAAGUGCCAGAACAGAGACCUGGCUGUUCAUCCACUUUGCCACAGUCGCGCUGCAUGACCUUGGGCAAGUCACUUUCCCUCCAUGGGCCUCCAUUUCCUCUCUGUAGAGUGGGAUGUGGGGAAAGACAAACAGGCAGGGUGAAAGCAUGAGCUAAGUUUCUCUCUCUACCCUAUGUCUGGCCAGACUUUGGUCCUGUGAACAGGAGCUGCUGGGGUCCUUUGGUUUUGUGUUAAUUUGCAUAUAUUUGCAUAUGUGCUAUAAGAGGCACCGACUACAUUUCAUUCAUAGAAAGAAUUGACACUGUCCUCUAAUUGAUGUCCAGGGAUGGAAAAGACUCACUGUUCAUGGUUCCACCCAAAUCUUAGCAGUCAGGAGUCUAGUAAUUAACCCUCCAACCCCCUCCUUCUACAGAUGACUAACUGAGGCUCAGAGAGGGAAAGUGAUGAGCCCAAGGUCACAUAGCGAGUGGGAGCACCGGGCUUCCUCCCAGGCUUCCCACUGUCUGCCAGGGAAUUGCAUGAGGCACCUCAUUUCUCAUUCCAUGCAGGGUGGGAGAAGGUGCAAGAAGGGGGGCUUGGUUUUCUUUUGAGGCCCUCUCUUCACCCCAGAAUAACAAAACCUGCAGGCUUGGCGGCCUCCGCAACCACUACAGGAAACCAAAUCGUAGUAGAAGGCAGAUGGGAGUGGAAAAUCCUCUCAGAGAUGUUAGAUCGUUGCUUUCACCUGUUCUAAAAAUAACCCAGUUUAUUAGAGAUAGAUAGAUGACGAGAUAACCCACAAGUUAUUCCACAGAGGCCGGAGAGGAGAGAGUGCAGUUCUGUUAGAACAAAAGGGGCGUUGGGAGAUGCUGCAGGGGACUGAAGGGCUGGCUGGACCCAUCAAACUCAGGAUUUGGCCAAUGUCAAGAGAGGCAGCAAGACAGAUGUGGAGGCAGACAUGGAGGCUGCCUUCAAGGGAUCCUGGUCUAAGGAUAAGAAAAGUCACAACAUAAUUGCAAAUUGGGACACAUGCUAUGAGGGAAACAGCGGUGCUGAGAUAAAGACCAGGAUGGGCAGGGAGGCCUCUGGAGGGAGGGGUUGUUUCAGCUGAGCCCUGGAGGGUGAGGAGGAGCCAGCCCAGCGAAGAAGAACGCAGGGCAGGGCACCUCCAGGAGUGAGACCAGCACAUACAAAAGCCCGAAGGGGCCAGGAAGGAGCGUGGUGGUUCAAGAAAGGCCAGUACCAGGGGGAGAGAGGGAAGAGGUGUCCACUUGCAGAAGGAGGUUGGAAGGGGGCAAGGCCAGAGUGGAGCUGGCUUCGAGAACCUGCCCAGCCUGAUGGAUUUGAUUCCCGGUCCCUGGGAAGCUGCGGAAGCCAGUUUCGAGUAGUGGAAUCAUGGGGGCACGGGCUGCCUCUUAGGAAGCUUGCUCUUGCCUGUUGUGUGGGAUAAUGCUGGGAGGGGCAAGCACGAGAAGACCAGUGAGGUACAGACAUGGGCUCCAGGUAGAGUGCUGCUGGCCUGGACAAAGAUGGGAAGGGAAAUCAGAGAGCACCGAAGGGAUUCAAAAUAUGUUUGGGAAAUAAACAUCACGGGAGCUGCAGACACACUGCAUCCAGGUGGGGAGGAGGGUAGAGAGGAGGAGGGCACUGCAGCAGACACCCAGGUGUCUGGCCUGAGCACCUGGUGGGUGGCAGUGCCAUUUCCCGAGGUGGGAAAACCUGCGGGCAGGAGGGGCAGCUGUGGGAACCCGGCUGGGCGCACGCUAGGUUGCAAAGUCUGCAGAUUGCCAAGAGAAUGUGCCAGGAGGCAGCUCCAGAGACCCCGGAGGUCUCGGGCCAUCUGACGAAAGCAGACAGUUGGUCCUUCCAUCAUUAACGGAGUCUGAACAGUGAGCACAGGGAGACCAGAGCCCAGCUCUGCUUUGUUUUGCAGCUUCAGCAUCGAGGGAGGUGCCUUGCACAUAGUAGCUGCUCAACAAGGAGCUAGUGUAUGAAUGAAGCUGGGCCACCGGCUGAACGAGUUGGCUCACAGACAUGGCGAGUGCUCAGUAAAUACUUAAGGGACUCUGUGACUCCUCUUCUCUCACCCCCACAUCCCGUCAGUCAAUGAUUCCUGAAGCUGUGACUUUCUCAGUGUUUCUCAAAUUGGUCUCCUGCUCCAUGCCAGCACCACUGCCCCAAUUCAGACGCUCGGCAUACAGCUCCAUUGACGGUGACCUUUAACUGAGUACCUACUAUGUGCCGGGCCCUUUAUGAGCAUUAUUCUCAUUUAACCUUCAGAACAACACACAGGGACAGCCCCCUUCCCCCUUUCACUACCCGUGGUGCCAACACACCACCCUCCCAGGUCACCUCACUGCCUUCAGGCUCCGUGCUUCCAAUCCAUCCGCCGUACUUCAACCAGGGUAGCGUGAGAAAAACCAAAAUCUGAUCUGACCCUCCUCCACUUCCAACCGUCUCCUCAUCCACAGGAUCCUGACCAACACCUUAAGUGGGCCGCCAGGCCUGAGUCCCAGCUCGGCCUCGUCUCCCGCCGUGCAGCGUCUGAGUCUGCACUUGCAGUUCCCAGGAGUGCCCAACACUGCUUCUGUGCUCCAUGCCUUUGCUCAUGCUGUGCCCUCUGCCAGGAGUGCCCUUCCUGCUACCGGUUCAUUCACACUCGCCAUUUAAGGCUCAGCUCUUCAGUCUUCCUCGACUCCUAUACCAGCUGGAUUGGGGGCCCCUCACACCACCUGCUCCCCACUCCGUGUUGACUUCAUCAGUAAAUGAGAACUUUUUCUUCAUAUGAUAAUUUCUCUUUUAAUAUACAGAAUCAUUUCCAACUCA